rnacentral:rRNA from 1 species
AUGACUGCUCAUCCCGGUAACCUCACAUCUGCCACUCCCGUUCAUACUCCCACCCGUAUCACCGUUGGUAACGGUUCCUCCCUACCCAUUACUCACGUCGGUCAUAUGUCUUUUCCUUCUGCUUCCACGCCUGUCGAUACGAAGGCUAAGGUGUCCGCCGUCGAGGGCUCUCCGGCGUCCGACGCUCCCUUCUACCGCUCCAUCGUCGGUGCGCUUCAGUACCUCACACUGACGCGUCCGGACAUUCAGUAUGCUGUCCAGCAGGUGUGCCUUCACAUGCAUGCUCCUCGUGACACCCAUUGGGCUCUCGUGAAACGUAUACUUCGGUACAUACGUGGCACCACAGCCAUGGGUCUCACCCUGACGGCCUCGCCAGACACCAGCCUUGUCGCCUACUCCGACGCCGACUGGGCUGGGUGUCCCGACACUCGACGCUCCACUUCCGGCUACUGCGUCUACCUCGGGCCCUCUCUGAUUUCGUGGUCGUCUAAACGACAACCCACGGUCUCACGAUCGAGCGCCGAGGCCGAGUAUCGGGCCGUGGCCAACGCCGUCGCGGAGUGUUCCUGGCUACGACAGCUCCUCCAGGAGUUGCUAUGUGAGGUCACCAAGGCGACGCUCGUCUACUGUGAUAACGUCUCCGCGGUGUACCUCGCUGCCAACCCUGUCCAUCACCGACGGACGAAGCACAUCGAGCUCGACAUCCACUUCGUCCGGGAGCACGUCGCACUUGGUCGUGUUCGUGUUCUACAUGUGCCCACCAAUCAGCAGUUCGCCGAUGUGAUGACGAAGGGACUACCCACCUUGACUUUCGAGGGCUUUCGGUCCAGUCUUUGCGUCACCGGCGACGCUUCGACUGCGGGGGGUGUUGAACAUGUGUACAUGUACGUAGGUCUGGGUUCUGUAUGCAGUACCUGUAGUAUUUGUCUCCCUCAGUAUGUACGUGUAUCUUAG